rnacentral:rRNA from 1 species
UACGUAGGGCGCAAGCGUUGUCCGGAAUUAUUGGGCGUAAAGAGCUCGUAGGCGGCUUGUCGCGUCGGCUGUGAAAACCUGGGGCUCAACCCCGGGCCUGCAGCCGAUACGGGCAAGCUAGAAUUCGGUAGGGGAGACUGGAAUUCCUGGUGUAGCGGUGAAAUGCGCAGAUAUCAGGAAGAACACCCGUGGCUAAGGCGGCUCUCUAGUACGGUACUGACGCUGAGACGCGAAAGCGUGGGGAGCGAACAGG